rnacentral:piRNA from 2 species
UGACAUGUGACCUUCCAGAAUGUGUGGGAGU